UCUAAAAUCCAUUUCAGCUUAUCCCAAAACUGUACCGAUCCUGCAACUGAUCCUCAACCUACACCGGUGUUGAGACUGAUGUCGAACAAAUGGUUGUCUUGAAAUGGAUUCCAAUUCUAUUAGGGCUCAAAACUGUACAUUGAAACUGUGCUGGCAACGUAGAAGAAUAGCAAACCUGUUUCGGUUCAGGAACCGAGUACGAUGCGAUUGAUGAACUAUUUCCGGUAACAAAUUCAGCGUAAUGGAGCAGUGUACAAACUCAGUGUAGAAUAUAGCGUUAACAUUAGCGUUACACUUCAGCAUAGGAAUUUAUAUCUAGUUUAAUAAUGAAAAGCUCAAAGAUAGAUUUCUCAAUCGUCCAGGAAUCAAAUCAAUCAAUACUCAAUCAGGAAAAACCGAAAAGAGAUUUUACAUUACUAUCAGCUGAUUGUUUUGUCCAGAGCAAGGUGAAAAAGGAAAAGCAAUAGAUUUAAUCAUACAUUCUACUUUAUCGCGGAACUCAGACACUGACGAGUAUGUUCAACUUUUGGAUACUCCAAAGGUAUAUCUCAAUAUUUCCUCUUCGUCCGGAUACAACUAUACGCGCAUAUUUAAUGCAACGUGACACCAUAGAGAGAGGAUGAAACACAUGAUCUAGUUGGAAGUGCUGCUUUUGAGCUGGAAAACACGUUAAAACAAAGUUAUGGAUCUGAUACUGGACGCAGAACUACACAAAUAAUCGAUCGUGGUGAGGGAUCAUCAGAUCAUCUUUAAACCACCUCACUUUUCCUUGUCGCGGAAACUUACAGGAUUUUACCAUAAAGAUAUUCUGGCUGCAUCCAAUAAUUAGCUACGAAGUCUUGUUCAGAGAUUCUCAGGCAUGUUUGACACUAUUUAAAAUACUUUGCACAUAACAUCCUAGCUCAUGCUUUGUUACCGUACAUCGCUGAAGGAUUAUGGGCUAGCAAAAUAUUAACAAGAGUUGAAAGUCAAACCGAAAAGGGCCUAAUACAAUGAGAACCAGGAAACUGUGUGCUUGCUUCGUAGAAGGGAAAAAAUUUCUAUACCAAUGGGCAACGACACAUAAGGAGAGCUAUCUGAUCCAUUAUCAAUUAUACCAGCCAGUAAUGAAAAAGCGCAUCGAUCGGACUGACUAUCGCAGCAUUAAAACAAGAACACGUGCUACUCAGUUGACAGCCUUGAACGACUGACGUUAAAACUAUGAAUCUGAAUCGCAUUGAUUUAUCCCGAUAACAAUCGGCAAAACCUUACCUGAUCGUUCUUUCUUCCAUGCUGAUCAUAUUACGAUUUCAUGAGAUAAGAACAGAUCACGAAUAAUCACGAACAGAAUACAGAUCAACUGUAUUUAUGUCCGGAGUAUAACGUUAAGAUUGACUGAAGCUUCUUACUACGUGAAUCCGGAUCUUCUUAUUUUUGACGCGAGGACUUACGUGUAACAACCUAUGCUGCCAUGUCGUCCAACACAGGCUUUCGAAAUUAGUACCACGUAGCCGUAGGAUAGUCAGUUUUUGCUGCUGGAGCCGGUUCAUAUGAGGCUUGAAUCCAGAUCGAACAUGUUAAGUCGUGCGAGAUGACGUCUGUAUCACAGGACCUCCCCAAUUAUCCAGAUCUACAGAUAGCUAGAGACCGGCUGCAAUUAAACGUAUCAACACAAUAUAAUUAUCUGAGUACAAAAAGGCAAUAGAUUUUAAUGUACACCGUUUCUUUGUAGUAGAUGAGUAGGAUUUAGCUUAUUUUAGGAUUAGAAGUUAAAAUAUACAUUCAUGAAGAUUUGUUAAUUAAUGUUAGUGCUCCUUGAAAAAUAAACAUGACCUAUAUUUUUAAUUGUUUAUAAAA